GGAGGGUGCGAGCGUUGUCCGGAAUCACUGGGCGUAAAGGGCGCGUAGGCGGCCUGGUAAGUAGGGGGUGAAAUCCUGCGGCUUAACCGCAGGGCUGCCUUCUAAACUGUCAGGCUUGAGCACAGUAGAGGCAGGUGGAAUUCCCGGUGUAGCGGUGGAAUGCGUAGAGAUCGGGAAGAACAUCAGUGGCGAAGGCGGCCUGCUGGGCUGUUGCUGACGCUGAGGCGCGACAGCGUGGGGAGCAAACAGGAUUAGAUACCCUGGUAGUCCACGCCGUAAACGAUGGGCACUAGGCGUCGGGGGGAGCGACCCUCCCGGUGCCGUCGCUAACGCAGUAAGUGCCCCGCCUGGGGAGUACGGCCGCAAGGCUGAA
rnacentral:rRNA from 1 species